CCCCUUUCAGAGUGGAACCUGGAGAGUUUCCAGUACUCUGCUAGUCUCAACUUUGGGAGGGAGAGUCAAGCAGAGGCAUACCCAUUCCAUUCCUAGCUUGGGCAGUGGCUGGAGAGCGGAAGGCAAUCUGCUACAAGU
rnacentral:snoRNA from 1 species